AUUGUACUCCCUCCGUCUCAAAAAUUUUGUCUUAGAUUUGUCUAGAUAUGAACGUAUCUAGUCAAGUUUUAGUAUUUNGAUACAUCCAUUUCUAGACAAACCUAGGACAAGAAUUUUGGGACGGAGGGAGUAUGAU
rfam:Hordeum vulgare subsp. vulgare, WGS project CAJW01000000 data, contig: morex_contig_63378